CUCUCUUUCUGAAAAAUCAAUUGAAAAAUAUCCUCAGAUGAGGAUUAAAAAUAAAAAGAUAAAUUUAAAAAGAUCUUAGGAAAGGGGUAUUGUGGCUUUGGGACAGAAAGUGAAGAAUCUGUCCAUCCCUGAGUAAGCCUUGCAGAAAGAUUAACCACACAAAGUAAUGUACUGACCCAUUUGGUCCAUACAAAGGUCAAGCAGUAUCCUGGAACCCAGCACUGGUUUCCCUUUUUCCCUGCACUGUUUAAGGGAAAAGAAUCUAACCACCUCCAGGCAAACCAAUUACCAUUGAGCUACCUGGUGCCUAAACUGUUGGGGGUUGUGUUCAUUGCAUGCUGGGAAGGAAGUUUUGAUCAGGAGUCCUGUCUGUAUGACCUAAGCUACUUUACUUAACCCCUCGGUGCAGCCAGUGGUUUAGCUGUGGAAGGGAGAGCUUGAAAAGAUCACAUGGGGAUAGGAUUUAACCAUGCUGACAGCCAACCUGACCUGGAUUCUGAGUGUACUGUAAUUCCUCUAAGAGUGGACGGAGACGAGGUCUUCAACCCAGACAGGUGUUCAUAAUCUUUAAUUAGAAAGAAUAAAAGGUAUUUUUAUGUGGGUGUGGGUAGGUGUAGGGAUAUCUCCAUUGGAGCCCCCAAGGCCCUGAGGGAGGUGCUGAUCAACAGUGGGCAGCAAACUUCACAUCCCCUGGUGGCCUUGCCUCAGGCACAUGCCAGGUUCUCUAGGAACCCUUUGGGAAGAGAGAGGAAGGGGGAGCUGCAGGAUGAGUGGGUUCCUUACUCUCUUCAUACAACCUGGGGUGACCUAGGAUUUUUCCCCAGCCCUCCCCCAAAGUAGCUAGCAGCUACAUUCCCCUAAAAUAACUUUUUACCUAGAACUUCCCCUCAGGAUAUAUAUUAUUUCAAUCUGGUGACUUUUGAGCCACCUCUGAUAAUAACACCCAAAUACUUCCUCUAUGUAGAGUGAAAGGCAUGAAGGGGAACCUAGCGGGGAUAGAGGUGAAGGCCACCGUGGAGCCUUCAGCAGCAGUCUUACAUGCCCCACUUCACCUCCAUGCAGCUCACACGCCUCUAUGCUCAUGCCCAUCUUCCCUCAUUUGGAGCUCUCCCCAGACUUGACAACAUUUCCAGGAUAAAAACUAUGGAAGGAGUCCAGAAGUGGGGAAAGGGGCACAGGAUGACAGCAAGUGCCUCCCAUCGCCACCCCCUUCAUCACUAAUGGAAUCCUUUGAGGGGGUUCUCUCAGGACAGAAUCCCUGGAUGCCUCACCUCCCUGGGCUAAGGAAGAAGUUGGGGCUGGGAAGCUUGGGUCCUUUGAGAAAGGAACCUCCCAAGGCACUGGGUAUCAGUCGCUCUCUCAGGUCAGCCUCUUCUAGCUCAGGCUCCCCCUGCCCAGGGUGCUUCCAGUCCCACCACAUUCUAUGACUCAUUGUUCUUAGUGCCUAUGGUGGCUGUUCAAAAGGAUGUGUUCGGGCGGGGCGGGGGCGUUAAUGGGAGGAUAAGGACACAUUUGUAAUAUCUUAACCAAUAAAGA